rnacentral:rRNA from 1 species
AACGAACGCUGGCGGCAUGCCUAACACAUGCAAGUCGAACGAGACCUUCGGGUCUAGUGGCGCACGGGUGCGUAACGCGUGGGAACCUGCCCUUAGGUUCGGAAUAACUCCCCGAAAGGGGUGCUAAUACCGGAUAAUGUCUUCGGACCAAAGAUUUAUCGACUUUGGAUGGGCCCGCGUUGCAUUAGCUAGUUGGUAGGGUAAAAGCCUACCAAGGCGACGAUCCAUAGCUGGUCUGAGAGGAUGAUCAGCCACACUGGGACUGAGACACGGCCCAGACUCUUACGGGAGGCAGCAGUGGGGAAUAUUGGACAAUGGGCGGAAGCCUGAUCCAGCAAUGCCGGGAGAGUGAUGAAGGUGUUAGGGUUGUAAAGCUCUUUUACCCGGGAUGAUAAUGACAGUACCGGGAGAAUAAGCUCCGGCUAACUCCGUG